GAUGAACGCUGGCGGCGUGCCUAAUACAUGCAAGUCGAGCGAACAGACGAGGAGCUUGCUCCUCUGACGUUAGCGGCGGACGGGUGUGUAACACGUGGAUAACCUACCUAUAAGACUGGGAUAACUUCGGGACACCGGAGCUAAUACCGGAUAAUAUAUUGAACCGCAUGGUUCAAUAGUGAAAGACGGUUUUGCUGUCACUUAUAGAUGGAUCCGCGCCGCAUUAGCUAGUUGGUAAGGUAACGGCUUACCAAGGCAACGAUGCCUAACCGACCGGUGUGGGUGAUCGGCCACCCGGGAGCGGAGACACGGUCCAGCUGCCUACGGGAGGCAGCAGUCGCGUACCCUCGGCAAUGGGCGAGAGCCUGACGGAGCAGCGCCGCGUGAGUGAUGACGUCGUUGGGAUCGUGAAACUCUGUUACUGGGGGAGAACCAAUUUGGAAGUAACUAUGCACGUCGUGACGGUACCUAAUAAGAAAGCCACGGCUAACUACGUG
rnacentral:rRNA from 1 species